AACGAACGCUGGCGGCAUGCCUAACACAUGCAAGUCGAACGAGACCUUCGGGUCUAGUGGCGCACGGGAGCGUAACGCGGGGGAAUCUACCCUUGGGUUCGGAAUAACAGUUAGAAAUGACUGCUAAUACCCGAUGAUGACGUACGUCCAACGAUUUAUCGCCCAAGGAUGGGCCCGCGUAAGAUUAGCUUGUUGCUGGGGUCAUGGCCUACCAAGGCGACGAUCUUUAGCUGGUCUGAGAGGAUGAGCAGCCACCCUGGGAAUGAGACACGGCCCAGACUCAUACGAGAGGCAGGAGUGGGGAAGAUUGGACAAUGGGCGGAAGCCUGAUCCAGCAAUGCCGCGUGAGUGGUGAAGGCCUUAGGGUUGUAAAGCUCUUUUACCAGGGAUGAUAAUGACAGUACCUGGAGAAUAAGCUCCGGCUAACUCCGUGCCAGCAGCCGCCGUAA
rnacentral:rRNA from 1 species